CCUACGGGGGGCAGCAGUGGGGAAUAUUGCGCAAUGGGGGAAACCCUGAUGCAGCGACGCCGCGUGAGUGAAGAAGUAAUUCGUUAUGUAAAGCUCUAUCAGCAGGGAAGAAAAUGACGGUACCUGAGUAAGAAGCCCCGGCUAACUACGUGCCAGCAGCCGCGGUAAUACGUAGGGGGCAAGCGUUAUCCGGAUUUACUGGGUGUAAAGGGAGCGUAGGCGGCGAUGCAAGUCAGAAGUGAAAGCCCGGGGCUCAACUCCGGGACUGCUUUUGAAACUGUGUUGCUCGAUUGCAGGAGAGGUAA
rnacentral:rRNA from 1 species